rnacentral:rRNA from 1 species
CCUACGAGUGGCAGCAGUGAGGAAUAUUGGUCAAUGGGCGCGAGCCUGAACCAGCCAAGUAGCGUGAAGGAUGACUGCCCUACGGGUUGUAAACUUCUGUUAUAAAGGAAUAAAGUGAGGCAAGUGUGCCUCUUUGUAUGUACUGUAUGAAUAAGGAUCGGCUAACUCCGUGCCUGCAGCCGCGGUAAUACGGAGAAUCCUUGCGUUAUCAGGAUUUAUUGGUUUUAAAGGGAGCGUAGAUGGGUUUGUAAGUCAGUUGUGAAAGUUUGCGGGUCAACCCUAAAAUUGCAAGUGAUACUGGCAGUCUUGAGUACAGUAGAGGUAGGCGGAAUUCGUGGUGUAGCGGUGAAAUGCUUAGAUAUCGCGAAGAACUAC